rnacentral:lncRNA from 1 species
UUAAUUUUCAGUUGUUAACUGCUGGUGUGAAUCUGAGCCCUGAAGUUGAACAGAUUCAGACGUCAAUAAGCCCUGAAGUUGAACAGAUUCAGACAUCAAUAAGCCCUGAAGUUACAGGUAAACUAAGUAUCCUCAACAUUAGUCAUGGAAUUAAUCUCCAGCUAGGUACAUAAGUUUAAUGGCGGCGGUGAUGUGCACGACAUCUGAAGCGGGCGAUUCGGACGGCGGAGCUCAACUGAAUCUGAACCAC